AUACGUAGGUGACAAGCGUUAUCCGGAUUUACUGGGCGUAAAGGGCGUGUAGGCGGUCUUGCAAGUCAGAAGUGAAAUUCCUGAGCUCAACUCGGGCGCUGCUUCUGAAACUGCAGGACUUGAGUGCUGGAGGGGAUAGCGGAAUUCCUAGUGGAGCGGUAAAAUGCGCAGGUAUUAGGAAGAACACCGGUGGCGAAGGCGGCUAUCUGGACAUUAAAUGACGCGGAGGCGCGAAAGCGUGGGGAGCAAACAGGAUUAUAUACCCUGGUAGUCCACGCUGUAAACGAUGAAUACUAGGUGUAGGGGGUAUCGACUCCCUCUGUUCCGCAGUUAACACAAUAAGUAUUCCGCCUGGGGAGUACGGCCGCAAGGUUGAAACUCAAAUGAAUUGACGUGU
rnacentral:rRNA from 1 species